CUAUUAGGUUGGUGCAAAAGUAAUUGCGGUUUUUCCCAUUACUUUCAAUGGCAAAUGCUGCAAUUACUUGUGCACCAAC
rnacentral:miRNA from 1 species